ACGAACGCUGGCGGCGUGCCUAAUACAUGCAAGUAGAACGCUGAAGAGAGGAGCUUGCUCUUCUUGGAUGAGUUGCGAACGGGUGAGUAACGCGUAGGUAACCUGCCUUGUAGCGGGGGAUAACUAUUGGAAACGAUAGCUAAUACCGCAUAACAAUGGAUGACACAUGUCAUUUAUUUGAAAGGGGCAAUUGCUCCACUACAAGAUGGACCUGCGUUGUAUUAGCUAGUAGGUGAGGUAACGGCUCACCUAGGCGACGAUACAUAGCCGACCUGAGAGGGUGAUCGGCCACACUGGGACUGAGACACGGCCCAGACUCCUACGGGAGGCAGCAGUAGGGAAUCUUCGGCAAUGGGGGCAACCCUGACCGAGCAACGCCGCGUGAGUGAAGAAGGUUUUCGGAUCGUAAAGCUCUGUUGUAAGUCAAGAACGAGUGUGAGAGUGGAAAGUUCACACUGUGACGGUAGCUUACCAGAAAGGGACGGCUAACUACGUGCCAGCAGCCGCGGUAAUACGUAGGUCCCGA
rnacentral:rRNA from 1 species